rnacentral:rRNA from 1 species
GUGGAUAUCAUUACAUCGUACCAUUACAUAAUAGUUGGGGAUACAUACCAUAGGAAUACGAUGCCACAUGAAUACAACAACAUCAUACACAAGAGCAACAUCCGACUACAGAUGAAACACAAACAGAAACUCAAACGACAUCCACCCUGCUAACCCGGGAUGUCGACCAGGAACCUAUCAUCUGAACGACGAAGCAGAAGAAGAACUCAAGACAAGCAAGCAUCGCUCUCAUGUCAUGAUCAUCGCAUUACAUGUACCUGCAACUGACAACUCUAUAAGAGGGGCUGAGCAAAGCGAUGACAUAGCCAAACAACGGUUUGUUAGGAAGGGUGAAAAAGGUUAGAGGCUGACAUGGCAAUUCGGGAGGCUUGAUAAAUAAGUGGUAGGAAGCGUGACAUAGCUAUAGCAUCGAGACAACUAGCAUAGCAAUGAUAAGAGUGAGAUCCAAGGUGACGGUCAUCUUGCCUGAAAUCCUGCUAGGAAGAAGAUCGAGUCCAUGAAGAAGAUGAGCGGCGUAGACAAACCAACCAUAGUCAAACGAAUCCUGACGAUCGCAACGACACAUGAACUAUCGAGAAGAAGCACAUCCGAAAAGAAGCAAACAACAUAGUAAACACACAAGCAUGAACAAGACAUGAUGCACAAUCAAGUAUGAUACAUGACAAGAUUAAAUGUUGGUUAACAUGGCAAGAGUUGAAACAUAAUAAAUCUACCUAUCUAGACAAGUUUAAAUGAGGCCGGAACAACAAACAAGAAUUCCGAAAAAUCCACAUGUGCAAUUUAUGAAUUUGGUACUGUUCUGCCUAUAACACAAUUUUAAAAUUGUUAAACAGCAAAAUAAAGUGCACCAAGUUGAUCUAUGCAUUUUUCUACCCCAUUUACAUAUAAAGUUUAUUAAAUUCAAAGCUACGGUUAUUAAGUUAUGAAAUAAACAAUUUUAACAUGUCAUUUAGGAAAUUAAAGCCAACAGCAAUUUUAAAUAUUUUAACAUGGAUAAAACUUGAAGAUUACGAAAGUACAGGAAAAUCUGAGCAUUUUACAUAUAUGACAUGAUCUAUUUGGAUGCAUGGAUAUUUAGUUAUUCACAAUUCAAAAUGAUGGCAUUUAUGUGAAUAUGCAGAAAAUAAUAAAUGCUAAAUCACAUGGGACAGGAAAACAAACAUACACGGGCCAGAAGCAUUAGAGUACAGCGGCCCAGAAUGGAUUUGGGCCCAAGUGGCCAGGUGUGUGUGUGGACGAGCUAGGACAGAGACACAUCAAUAAAACAAAACAACAAAAAAGGGACGUCGAUAACAGCCGAACGUUUGGUCUGGGGAGGCACCAGAUGCGAACAGCCUCUCGGCACGAACGCCUUAUCAGACAGGCCCAAUACUAGCUUCCUGGCCCAAACAAAAAUCCCUUUGCACUAAAAGUAUAGAGAAAAACGUAGACACAUGUAAAACUAGUAGAGCGAAAAACUGUGCAAUACAGAAAAUUCAGAAAAUGAUACUGCAUUAGGAUUUACAAUGAGUGAUUAGUUGCCAAUUUACAAUGAGUGAUUAGUUGCCAACUGAGAUAUAAUAAAAUGGCUACGUCCAGUAUGUUACAAAAAUAAAACAUGCAUGAUAAUAAAGAAAAAUUAGUACAAAAUUGUGAUGAUGAAUAUGAACUAAGGAAAAAAUGUUACACAUGGCAACCUUUACAAAUCUUAUUCUCUAAAAAAAUACAUGGCAAGUUUGGAUUUCCCAUUGUACAUGGAAAAAAAUUGUGUAUUAAAAACUAAAUGAAAAAACCAACAGAAAGUUGCCAUGAUCUUAUGAUAGAAAUGCAUAGGCUAUAAUCUCAUGGGAUGAUCCAUAGAAUAAAAUGUAGACUACAAAAUGCCAUGAUCCAUACACCAAAAUUUCCGUGAUGCAUAGACUAUAUUUGCCACUGUCCCGUGCAAAAGAAAUAUGUGAUGUUGCAAAAAGAAAGAAAAAUUGGUCAUGGUGCAUAUAGUUAAAAUUGCCACAAUCAUAACCAAAAUCAUGUUAAUUUGUAUGUAUUUGACAUGGCAAAAAAAAGUAAAACCAGCCAUGUUAAUAAAGGUCAAAUAAAAAGUAAAACUUGCCAUGGCAAUAAAAGUUAAAAAUUGCAAUGGGAAUUUAAGUAAAUUUGACAUGUUAAUAAAGGUAAAUUAGCCAUGUCAAUUAAAACGUAAAACUUGCCAUGGCAAUAAAAGUUAAAAAUUGCCAUGGGAAUUUAGGUAAAUUUUCAAUGUUAAUAAAGGUAAAUUACCAUGGCAAAUAAAAAAUAAAACUUGCCAUGGCAAUAAAAGAUAAAUAUUGCCAUGGGGAUAUAGGUAAAUUUGCCAUGUUAAUAAAAAAAUCUCGUGCACCGCAAACUACAUUUGCCAUGAACUUAGGUUGCCAUCUAUCAUUAGAAACUAAUUAUUUUACCAUUGUUAAUAAAGAAAGAUAAUUUCCCAUGAUGUAUAAACUACAAAUGACAUGCUCCAUGAAAUUAAUAUGCCAUGAUCUCAUAGAAAGUAAUUGUUUCCAUGUGGAAGAGAAAAGAAAAAAAAGGUAUAUGAAUUAUAGACAUUUAUCACGGCAAUUUUCAGAGAUAUCUAAACUAAAAGACUUAUGUUUACAUGGCAAGUAUAUACAAUAUAGUGGAUUGACAUGGCAAGAAUGAUAUGUAAAACUUAAAAGAAUGAAAAACAAUUUGCCAUGGUCCACAUAGUAAGUUAGUGAAAUAGAAAAUAAUAUGUAAUUGAAGAAAGUGGGUGGCAAACUAUUUGAACGAUGGCAAGUUUGCCAUGUUUUAGAAACUUUCAGAAUUUGUCAUGAUUUAGUGAUCGUUUUGUCAUGGCAAUUUAAGAGAUGUCUAAAAACAUGGCAACUUUAUGCAUGGGACUUGAGUGGAACUUGCCAUGUCAAAUCUUUAAAGAAAAUGUCAUUUACAUAAAACAUCACAAAAUGGUAAGAUAAAAAUAAUUUUGCCAUUGUACUUGAAUUAAACUUGCCAUGAUCCAACUAAUUUUGCCAUAGUCCAUAUAGUAAUUUUGCAAAUGUUAGAGAAAAUAAAAAAUACAUUCAAAGAAAAUGGUGGCAAAACUAUUUGAAGGAUGGCAAGUUUUCCAUGUUUUAGACACUUUUAGAAUUUGCCAUGUUUUUGUGAUCGUUUGACAUGGCAAAUUUGGAGAUGUCUAAAAACAUGGCAAAUUUAGACAUGGGACUUGAGUUAAAUUUGCCAUGUGAAAUCUUUAAAGAAGAAAUGUCAUAUAUGUAAAUUUUGCAAACGAUAAGACAAAAUUUUCCAUGCUAUUUGAAUUAAACUUGCCAUGAUCCAUUAACUAAGUUUGCCAUGGUUCGUAUAGUAAGUUUGUGAUGUUAGAGAAAUUUGAAAAAUACAUUUUGAGAAAAAAUGGUGGCAAACUAUUUGAUGUUAGAGAAGUUUGCCACAUUUUAGAAAACUUUCACAUAUUGCCAUGUUUUAGAAACUUUCAGAAAUGACCCCCCACAUUGAUGAAAUGAUGACAAAUUGUUACUAAAAUGCAAUUAUCACAUCAUUGCCAUAUAACCGUAUGACGCAUAGUUACUAAAAAAGCCUACAUUUGCCAUAUGAUCAUUAGAAACAAAUAAUCUGAGUUGGGCCAUGAUGUUAGGGCCAAAACUAUCAAAAAUAAUGGCAUGUGAAUGAACUAACAAUUUCUAAAAGUUGCCAUGGCGUGAGAAUUCGUAAUGAUCUAAGAAAUUGCCAUGUUAUGCUAAACAUCGUGAUUAGAAAUUGCCAUGUAUUAUAGGAUCAAAUAAUGUUAAAAUUCUGUACGACUGGCAUGUCAAAUUUAGUAACUAAACAAAUCACGGGAAAAAUGUCUGCUACUCAGAUUUUAGUGUAGCAUGGCAAACUUAAAGGAUGUUUCAUGAGGACAUGGAAAAUUAUGUUCAAAAAAUUCUGCACCAUGGCAAAAUUGCUCACCAGCUGAUGGUGAGCAUGACGCGCUGAAGAGUUGAAGCGUCGUUGGCGCUGACGGUGAGCACGACGGACCCGGUUGUGAUGAUGGAGCCUUAACACGAGAUGAGGCAGUAGACCGUGCUGGACAUGAGCACGGCCCGCAGGGGCCCUCCGGGCUUAGCAGAAGGGGAGCAGCGGCGCAUCGACCUGCCAGAUCCCCCUCGCCCCGCCGUACAACGCGAGCUGGCUGAGCUUGAUGAGCACCUCUCCACUGCGCUCCCUUCUGAGGAUGGAUGCCGUCGGCGAGGACUCCAUCACGCCGCCCCUACCGCGGGUGCAUCCAUGGAGAUGUCCCAGGGAACUCAUCACCGGGCCCCCACCUCCGCUCUCCAUCGGAAUCUGCGGAAUCGCUACUCUCCACCGCAGUGCAUGCAAGUAAUUACCGGACUCGCGGCUCCCUCCCCCAAGCCCCCAAGCCACGAAGCCGGCGAGGACAACGGAGCCCGCCCCGUCCCGCCGCAUGAGUCGUGACGCCCCUGAUGUUGGGGGUCAGUGGAGCUCCCCCAUGCCGCACUCAACUUCGUCUCCUCCGCUGACCACCUCGGGCACCUCACCGACAGCCGCCUCAUCACCUGCGCAAGAGACGGGGAGGCUCCGGGUGGUGCCGCGUGUACCGGGCUUCACGGUCGCCAUGCACGGACCUGUGGGAGAGAUGGGGAGGAAGGUCAGGGACUAGAUGGGGAUGAGGAGAAGGAAGGAGAGGCAUGCGGAGCACAGGGCGGCUCACCAGCGCGACCAGCUGCCGGAGUAGGCGGCCAGAGGUGGGAGAGAGAAGUGGGUGAGUGGGGAAGGAGGGGACUGGAUAGGAUCAAUAGGAUUGCGUUCGGGCCGAUUGACUUUUUCAUCGAACGAGCUUCUGGUUGACGUUUCUCCCUCCAGUGCUUCGAGACUGGUGCAACUAAUCCAGUGGUAG